UACGGAGGAUGCGAGCGUUAUCCGGAAUUACUGGGCGUAAAGGGUGCGUAGGUGGUUUCUUAAGUCAGAGGUGAAAGGCUACGGCUCAACCGUAGUAAGCCUUUGAAACUGGGAAACUUGAGUGCAGGAGAGGAGAGUGGAAUUCCUAGUGUAGCGGUGAAAUGCGUAGAUAUUAGGAGGAACACCAGUUGCGAAGGCGGCUCUCUGGACUGUAACUGACACUGAGGCACGAAAGCGUGGGGAGCAAACAGG
rnacentral:rRNA from 1 species